rnacentral:rRNA from 1 species
UACGAAGGGGGCUAGCGUUGUUCGGAAUUACUGGGCGUAAAGGGCGCGUAGGCGGCCAUUCAAGUCAGAGGUGAAAGCCCAGGGCUUAACCCUGGAAUUGCCUUUGAUACUGUUUGGCUUGAGACCGGAAGAGGUAAGUGGAACUGCGAGUGUAGAGGUGAAAUUCGUAGAUAUUCGCAAGAACACCAGUGGCGAAGGCGGCUUACUGGUCCGGUUCUGACGCUGAGGCGCGAAAGCGUGGGGAGCAAACAGG